rnacentral:rRNA from 1 species
AACGAACGCUGGCGGCAUGCCUAACACAUGCAAGUCGAACGAGACCUUCGGGUCUAGUGGCGCACGGGUGCGUAACGCGUGGGAACCUGCCCUUAGGUUCGGAAUAACUCCCCGAAAGGGGUGCUAAUACCGGAUAAUGUCUUCGGACCAAAGAUUUAUCGCCUUUGGAUGGGCCCGCGUUGGAUUAGCUAGUUGGUAGGGUAAAAGCCUACCAAGGCGACGAUCCAUAGCUGGUCUGAGAGGAUGAUCAGCCACACUGGGACUGAGACACGGCCCAGACUCCGACGGGAGGCAGCAGUGGGGAAUAUUGGACGAGGAGCGAAAGCCUGAUCCAGCAAUGCCGCGUGAGUGAUGAAGGCCUUAGGGUUGUAAAGCUCUUUUACCCGGGAUGAUAAUGACAGUACCGGGAGAAUAAGCACCGGCUAACUCCGUG